GAAUCGGUCGUCGCUCAUCUCCCCACGUCGCAUCCCGUCGUCCCCAUCGAGCGAUCCCCUUCCUCCCUGAUUUCUCCGUCUAGAGGCGGCAUCGAUGCUCCUCGCCUCCAAGAUCUUCCAUCGUAGGUCGUCGCCCACGACGGCUUGCCAUCUGCUAUCCCGUGCCCAGAUGUUGGAUGCAUGAUCUCCUCCGUCGGCACAAUCCGUGUAGCCGCAUCCAUCGGCGUUCGUCUCCCCGUACGGUGGCGACCGGAUUGGCCACUGACCAGUGCCUCCUCUCCGUACACGAGAGUUGGGUUUUCUUAUGUUCAAGCUCCCUCCUCGGUUGCUCCGUUCAUCUUCACUGGAUUUCUCUGGUGAGUCUGCUGCAUUCUUUGCCUUCUUUUAUCCCCUUCCUUCACCCUUCUCUGGUCAACUACAUCAGUGGCUGCAAGCCUGCAAGAUGGAGCUGAGUUGGGAGGCUGAGCAAGCAGCAACAGGAGGAAUCAAGGAACAAGGGGGAAAAUGUGAGGGAGGAGGAAACUGGGAUACCUAAGUAAUUUGCUAAUGCGUUUUUAGGCUACCUAUUCCAAUCCCUCAUCGUAUGGUGUACAUUCAGAUUCAGAUAUGAUUGGCUUGAUAUUUAGGAGUCUUUAGAGGCCAAAUCAAGGAAUGCAAAUAACUAUGGAGUUGUACAGGGUUCCUUAAGCCCUCUAUUAAGUUCAACCAUAACUCGAGCUGUCAACUUGCAAGGGUUUUCAUCCUGUCUAUAUGGUCAAAUAUUGCCAGUCUGUAACUAAAUGUUGUAAGCCUGUGAGAUAGUUGCCAGACACUUAUAAUCGGUAGGUCACCCAAGAUACAAGUACAAAGCAAGAGAUAUUCAUCAAAGGGUACACAACAAUUUUGUAGGACAGCCAUGGUAUCUGAUUAUUCUCAAUUGUUCUUGAUCUUCAGACAAGUGAAAAAUCGUUGGUCAGUUUGAAGGAACAAAUUUCCUCUUGCAAAAUACCUAUUCCUGUCUAGAGGGCCAAUGCACUAUCCUCAGCUCAGGAAAACAUAAUGGAUGAAGCUGUCAAUUGUUCCACUGAGGAACAAACACAAGAUAAGAUAAUAGUGAACAUUCAUACUGCAUUGAUCUCUGCUCCGAGUUCUAAGCAAGAGAUGGGCCAAAUGACAUGCAUUUGUAGCUCAUCUCCUGAUGAAGGUGGUCAUCCCAGAGCUUCAGUAUUGUGCGAGCUAUUCUGAGAUACACUGCCACUGGAGUCGCUCAAAUAUUUGGGGCUCCCAUGUAAUAUUAUCCCACCUACCAUGGCAAGAAGCUGUCUCAAAUAUAGCAAUGCUCACGCUUCGGCCACUCUUUGUUUUGUGGUGGGAAGAUAAGACCAAGGAUAUGUUCAUCUGUAUUGGCCUGGGGAUCGACCAACUGAUGUUCUAGCUAUUGCUAGCUCACCAUGUCUAAUAGGCAAAUACUAAAUGAUCCGUAUCGCCGAUUCAUAAUAUUGAGCUUCUAAAAAUUAUCCCUACAAAGGAUUGUGCAUAUUCAGUCAAUGGUGCUUGCCAUUUCUGAAACCAGGCUACUUUCACUAAAUGGCACAAAAUGCCCCUUUGUGUUAUUUGCGAUAGCUGCAACUGUUGUGAUCGGAGAUGUUUUGCGAUAUAGUUACUACAUGCAUUGAUUCUUCCAUGCCA